GGAUUAAAGGGCAGGCUACCAUGGCUAAUACUAUUGUAUUUGCUAUAGGCCACCUGAUCAGGAAGAGGAAGUAGAUGAAGUCUUCUUCAGAGAGUUGGAAGUAGCCUCUUAGUCACAAGCCCUGGUUCUCAUCGGGGACUUCAACCACCCACAUCUGCUGGGAAGACCACACAGCUAGUCACAAACAGAUCAGGAGAUUCCUGCAGUGCACAGAUGACAACAAUUUGACACUGGUGGUGGAGAAGCCAACAAGGAGAGGUGUGCUGCUGGACCUUAUAUUAACAAAUGAGGUAGGACUAUUUGGAGAUGUGAGGGUCAUGGGCAGCCUUGGCUGAAGUGACCAUGAUACGGUGGAUUUCAGGAUCUUGCAAGGAGGAAGCAGGGCAAAAGGUAGUAUUGUCACCCUGGACCUCAGGAGAGCAAAUUUUGGCCUCUUCAGGGAUCUGCUUGGAAGAAUCCCAUCUGCUGAGGUCCUAGAAGGAAGGGAGGUGCAAGACAGAUGGUCAAUAUUCAAGCACCACUUCCUCCAAACUAAAGAUCGAGUGCACCACUAUGACUAAGAAGGCCACCAAAGGGGGCAGGAGACCUGCAUGGAUGAGCAGGGAGCUCCUAUCAAAGCUCAAUCAGAAGAAGGAAGUUUACAGCAUGUGGAAAAAGGGACAGGUCACUUGGGAGGAAUAUAGGGACACUUUCAGAGUAUGCAGGGAUGCAAAAAAGAAGGCCAAGGCCCAUUUGGAAAUAAAUCUGGCAAGGGAUGUCAAGGACAACAAGAAGGGCUUCUUCAAAUAGAUCCAAAGAAAAAGGAAGACUGGGGAAAAUAUCCCCUGUUUUUUUUAAUCCCCUGUCCUGGUUUUGUCUGGGAUAGAGUUCAUUUUCUUCAUAGUGUCUGCUGGGGACGGGGGAGUGAGCAAGAACAGCUGUGUGUGCUUAGCUGCCUUCUGGGUUAAACCACAACAAUAUCUGCAGACCAGUAAAUUAAAAAUAAGAAGCUACGAUGACCACAGUCAAAAACAUUCAUCAGAAAGUUUAACUAAAACUUUGGCCAAAGCACAAAGGACUAUUAUUCAGAAAAUGUAACAAAUGGAAAAUGAAUGUUGUUGACAUGGGCUUGGAAAGACUUAAGAUGUCUUCUUGUAUUUUUUCUUUACAUUAGUAUGAAUGUCAAGCUUUGCUAUGUUUAACAGAGCACUGAAAAACCUUGUAGAUAAUAUUUUUAAUUCAUUAUUUCUUUUAUCAGUUGUUUCCUGUCCCUCUCCCUCUCCCUCUCCCUCUCCUUCUCUUCUUUUUUUUAUUUCUAUUUUUUCAUAUUUUUUCUUUUUCUAUUUCCUUUUUUUUUUUCUUUUUUCUAUUUUUUUUUUCUUUUUCUCAGUGUAAGAAAGCCUGAAGUGACUGGGAAGAAAAAUCAAUUAAAAAAAAAUAACAAGAAAGUGUCAGAGAAAGCUUUAUUUCAAAUAGAUGUCAGCUUGUGUUGCUGUGGGUCUUGCCACUGCACUGAACAAACAGGUGGGACCUUUGGAGGCAGACAUCAGCAGCUAUUAUGGCAUUAGGGAAUCCCUGCAAGGAGGAGAAUUCUCUUCCUGUAUAUUAAAUUCCCUCAAAUUGUAUAAAAUGUGGCAGUCUCCUUAAAGGCUUAGAUUAACGUUAAUGAAGGAAACAAUAAAGAGAGAAAUGAGAGAGCUGACA
rnacentral:lncRNA from 1 species